rnacentral:lncRNA from 1 species
GCCUGAGUACAUGACAUCACACGAGCUUCCUUGAUCCACGAGAAUUCGAUGGACAUCGAAGUUCUCCAUGCGUGCCCUUACUAGUAGAGGUAUUUGGUAAUUGGGGGAGCCCCCUGGUACAUCAUCUUUGUAAAAUGCUAGCGGAAUGGUGCAUUCUUUGGGUUUUGACACAGUGAUGGGAUUCACCGAGCAAAUACUUUCCAGCUCCUCAAAUUUCCUCUUCACCGAUCCUACUGUGUUUUUGCUGAUUCC